UUAAUCUGGGCGAUGGAUGGUCCCGCGCCGCACCCUGCGCGCACGGGCUAAGAGGGAAUGCGAAGGGCCGACUUAAACCAAGGGCCCGGAUCGCAGCCGACCCCGCGACUGUAGAGCGGAGAGGUUCCUCCACCGGCGAUGAUCCGCCGGAAACGCCACUGGAUUUCGAUCCGGGAAGGCAGGAGACAACCGAUGACCCGCGAGCCAGGAGACCUGCCAUCCCUUGCGAAGGCGG
rnacentral:ncRNA from 2 species